UUGGCAAGCGUGAGUGCGUGGACAAUUGACACAAUCUUUUUAGUUAGAUUGUUCGGUACAGUUCAAACCCUAACUAGAGACAAGCCAAACUCUUUGAUAAAUAUCAUUGUGCUUUUAAUAAAUCUAUAUGGUAUAUGAUUCUCUGCAUUUGAUCCAUUUGAGUAUAUGAUUCUCUGCAUUUGAUCCAUUUGAUGUAUUCACAUUUUAAUCAAAGAACACCAUAGGUCUAGCCCCAUUUGAAGUACUCAUACUUUACCUUGGGGUCUUGGAACAAAAAGAAACAUUUAUUUCUUCCCCAAAUGCAGAG
rnacentral:lncRNA from 1 species